UGAAAAUGACGAUGAAUCCCUAUACCAUCUAUACAGGGCAUGUUCCUUCUCCAAAGUUGUCUGGUUUGGCACUCAAUGGACAACACGCACGAAACACAGUGGGAUCUUUGAUAUUAGGGAAUGGGUAAGCCAAUGGAUUCAUGAUUACCACCAAUCCGAUCCUAGUAAAAAAUCCACUAAUAACGGUUGGAUCUUAGUUCUGUGGCAUAUCUGGA
rnacentral:lncRNA from 1 species